AUGUAUCGGGAAGACGCCUCGGCUGGUUACACAGCGGGUUUCCCUCAACGUGGAAGAGCUGCUCCUAACCGAGAUGUGCAACGAAAAGAGAAUAAACCAGAGUCCUGCAGCCGGUUUCCAAACGCUCGCACGUUGGGGGACGCAGCUGCACAGUUUUCCCAACUUACGGGGUCAGCAGAACCGCCGCUCACGGGAGGGGAAACGGCAGCGCAGCCACCGCGCGUCCCCGCCGCGCACAUCCCGUCCCGCACAUCCCGUCCCGCACAUCCCGUCCCGCUCAGCCCGUCCCGCUCAGCGGCUGCGGUUCCUCCGGGCGGUACUUUGCCGCUCCGCGCCGUACGCGCCGAUCCCGCCCGAUCAGACACGUUCCCUCGGGCUGCGCUCAGCGCUGCGCUGCGGGUCCGACCCGCGCGGCUCCACGCCGCCCUCCCGCCGCUCCGCCCCGCCCCCUCCCGCACACAACCCGGCUCUUCCCGCAGCCGGACCCGCUCCACGCCUCGUAACGCGGCCGUUCACUCUGACGCACGUCUGUCCGAGCUCACGGCUGUCGGCCCGUCUCACGUCCUCUCCCCGUCGUUCCCGUACCCAGAGCGCUGCUCUCGGUUAGAACCGAACCGAUGCUGUUGCGGUCCCGGCCCCGCGCGCUCCGUGUGCAGAACGCGACGCUCCCCGCACCGCCCGGGGCCGGCAGCAACGGGAGAUAACGGGAGAGCAACGCGGCGUGCGGGGACGGCCGGAGAUUCAGAGCUGUUCGGGAGAAACCCCCGUUCUCUAUUUAACGUGGCACGGUUACCAGUAACUAAGAUUAUUCAACAACAGAAGAGAUUUCUUGUAAACUUCGUAUUUAUUGUUUGGGUUUUUUUGUUUUGUUUUGUUUUCUUAUGGUUUUUUUUUUUUUCUUUUUUCUUUUUUUUUUUUGUGGGGCAAGGGGGGGUUGGGGGGAGGGGACAAAUGAGAUCUUCUGAAUCCCCAAGUGUACACAUAUAUUUAUUUGUAUAUCGCUUUCUCCAUAGGGAAAACACAUAUAUCAAAGGAGGAGAGACAUUUCUAAAGUGCCCCUUGUUAUACAGUACCGAACAUUUCUAA
rnacentral:lncRNA from 1 species